rnacentral:lncRNA from 1 species
ACGAAGAGAGGUUAUAAGCAAAUAGUCUAGCCAAAAGAGCAGACGAGCCGACAAGAAAUACCUCAGUGCCCGCGGGAGCAGAGUGUUUGUGUUUUUUGGAUUUUUUGGAGGCAGAAGAGACAGUAGGUUCUGUCGAACGUGGUUGACCCUGCACAUAAGUGAAAAAUUAGCAACCACGUAAUGUUCCCCUGUAGAAGGCACAAGAGCAAAUAGAAAUGCU